rnacentral:tRNA from 1 species
GCCAGCGUAGCUCAGCCGGCAGAGCGGCGCACUCGUAAUGCGCAGGUCGGGGGUUCGAAUCCCUUCGCUGGCU